rnacentral:rRNA from 1 species
GACGAACGCUGGCGGCGUGCUUAAUACAUGCAAGUCGAACGAUGAAAGCUGGAGCUUGCUCCGGCUGGAUUAGUGGCGAACGGGUGAGUAACACGUGAGUAACCUGCCCCUCACUCUGGGAUAACCUCGGGAAACCGAAGCUAAUACCGGAUACGACCCUCGGAGGCAUCUCCAGGGGGUGGAAAGAAUUUCGGUGAGGGAUGGACUCGCGGCCUAUCAGGUAGUUGGUGAGGUAACGGCUCACCAAGCCGACGACGGGUAGCCGGCCUGAGAGGGUGACCGGCCACACUGGGACUGAGACACGGCCCAGACUCCUACGGGAGGCAGCAGUAGGGAAUAUUGCACAAUGGGUGCAAGCCUGAUGCAGCAACGCCGCGUGAGGGACGACGGCCUCGGUUGUAA